AUUGAACGCUGGCGGCAUGCCUUACACAUGCAAGUCGAACGGCAGCACGGGAGCAAUCCUGGUGGCGAGUGGCGAACGGGUGAGUAAAGUAUCGGAACGUGCCCAGUCGUGGGGGAUAACGUAGCGAAAGUUACGCUAAUACCGCAUACGAUCUAUGGAUGAAAGCGGGGGAUCGCAAGACCUCGCGCGAUUGGAGCGGCCGAUAUCAGAUUAGGUAGUUGGUGGGGUAAAGGCCCACCAAGCCGAUGAUCUGUAGCUGGUCUGAGAGAACGACCAGCCACACUGGGACUGAGACACGGCCCAGACUCCUACGGGAGGCAGCAGUGGGGAAUUUUGGAGAAUGGGGGAAAGCCUGAUCCAGCCAUGCCGCGUGAAGGAUGAAGGCCUUCGGGUUGUAAACUGCUUUUGUACGGAACGAAAAGGACUGCCCUAAUACGGUGGUCCCAUGACGGUACCGUAAGAAUAAGCACCGGCUAACUACGUGCCAGCCGCCGCCGUAAGAC
rnacentral:rRNA from 1 species